rnacentral:rRNA from 1 species
UACGUAGGGAGCAAGCGUUGUCCGGAAUCAUUGGGCGUAAAGCGCGCGUAGGUGGCCCCAUAAGUCCGCUGUGAAAGUCAAAGGCUCAACCUUUGAAAGCCGGUGGAUACUGUGGGACUAGAGUACGGAAGAGGCGAGUGGAAUUCCUGGUGUAGCGGUGGAAUGCGCAGAUAUCGGGAAGAACACCCGUGGCGAAGGCGGCUCUCUGGGACGGUACUGACGCUGAGACGCGAAAGCCAGGGGAGCAAACGGG